rnacentral:rRNA from 1 species
GACGAACGCUGGCGGCGUGCCUAAUACAUGCAAGUUGAGCGCUGAAGACUGGUACUUGUACCGGUUGGAUGAGCAGCGAACGGGUGAGUAACGCGUGGGUAACCUGCCCUAUAGAGGGGGAUAACUAGAGGAAACUUUAGCUAAUACCGCAUAAAAUCUAAUAACACAUGUUAUAAGAUCGAAAGUGCCAACUGGUACACUAUAGGAUGGACCCGCGUUGUAUUAGCUAGUUGGUGAGGUAAAGGCUCACCAAGGCGAUGAUACAUAGCCGACCUGAGAGGGGGAUCGGCCACACUGGGACUGGGAAACGGCCCAGACUCCAACGGGGGGCAGCAGUAGGGAAUCUUCGGCAAUGGACGAAAGUCUGACCGAGCAACGCCGCGUGAGUGAAGAAGGUUUUCGGAUCGUAAAACUCUGUUGUAAGAGAAGAACACCAGUAAGAGUGGAAAGCUUACUGGCUGACGGUAUCUUACCAGAAAGCCACGGCUAACUACGUGCCAGCCGCCGCAGUAA